rnacentral:lncRNA from 1 species
CAGCGGACCUUUCAUUUUUUUUAAAAAAAAAAAGAAAAACCUAAACCGUGAAUGCUCUCUGCGCCACUCAAAGGCUCUCCGAUCCCUCGCCCGACUCUGAUUACGACGGAGUGAGCGACGGUCCGGCUAUCAGGUAAUCUCUUUGCUCUCUAAUCUCUCUCUUUUAUUCCUUUUUUACUCAAAUAAUGAACUAAACAAAAACCAGAUGCGAAGGAAAAAUUUCAUUCACCUUUAAAACUCUGUUUUUCCUUUGAAUAUUUUUUUUCUUUCAAUAUCUGCUUCUGUGUCCAUCGUUUUCAGUAUUCCAAUGGCUUUUUUAUAGCCGAAAAUUGCAAAAUAAAUAAUAAUAAUAACAAUCUAAAAAUCCAAUCCGUUCUCCGUUUCUGUUAUUUCUUUCGCUGCUCUUGUGUGUGUAUUUUGCAGGUACAUGCUGGCGUGGAGAUGGCGCACACGCGCGGAGGUGCAACACGCGCGGGGAUCUGGUUCGAAUUUGCCUAUGACGCAGAAGCAGAAGCCUGCUGUUGCUGCUGCACCAGGAAAAUCUAGAAACCCCUAGGGUUUUUGAAUUUGGGCCGUUUGGGCCAUUAUAAUCGGGCUAUUUUUUAGGUAAAUGAUUUGGGCUAUGUAUUUGGAUAUGGAUUUAGUAUUUGGGUUAGUUUGGGUUUAGGUAUUAUUGUUUUUUUAAUUUCGGUAAUUGGGCUAAAAACUUGGAUUUAUUUGGAUGUAAAUGGACAAUGGACUUUAUUUGUUGUUUUUUUAUUUAUUUUUUGGUUUUAUAUUUGAUUUAUUUUCUGUUUGUUUUUCGGCCGGGCAAAUUUGGGUAUUACAAAUGUAACCAAUCUAAAUAUUGGAACCACAACCUUUGGCAAAAUUAUUUCAUAACAAUAUAAAAUAAUAAAUUUAAACAACC